GUCUACGGCCAUGCCACCCUGAACGUGCCAGAUCUUGUCUGAUCUCGGAAGCUCAGCAGGGUCAGGCCUGGUUAGUACUUGGAUGGGAGACCACCUAGGAAGACCAGGUGCUCUAGGCG
rnacentral:rRNA from 1 species